rnacentral:tRNA from 1 species
GUGUCAAGGGAUGGGAAUCGAACCCACGACCUUCCGCUUACCGGGCAGAUGCCAUGACCACUAGGCACACUGGACA